GAUGAAGAACGUAGCGAAAUGCGAUAAGUAAUGUGAAUUGCAGAAUUCAGUGAAUCAUCGAAUCUUUGAACGCACCUUGCGCCCCUUGGUUAUUCCAAAGGGCAUGCCUAUUUGAGUAUCAUGAACACCUCAACUCUUGUGGUUUCCCACAAUGAGCUUGGACUGUGGAGGUUUUGUUGGCCCUGUGGUCAGCUCCUCUCAAAUGGAUCAGCUUACCGGUGUUUGGUGGCAUUACGGGUGUGAUAACUAUCUACGCUCGUGGUCGUCUCCAAAUAACCUCCAGUGAUGGAGGUUCGCUGGAGCUUAUAAAUGUCUCUCCCCAGUGAAGACAGCCUUUGAACGUUCGAUCUCAAAUCAGGUAGGACUACCCGCUGAACUUAAGCAUAUCAAUAAGCGGAGGA
rnacentral:misc_RNA from 1 species